UGUGGCGCAUGCCACGCUUUUGAAAGAUGGUUUCGGCUAUCGCUUACAGAUGGGCCCGCGGUGCAUUAGCUAGUUGGUAGGGUAAUGGCCUACCAAGGCAACGAUGCAUAGCCGACCUGAGAGGGUGAUCGGCCACACUGGGACUGAGACACGGCCCAGACUCCUACGGGAGGCAGCAGUAGGGAAUCUUCCGCAAUGGACGAAAGUCUGACGGAGCAACGCCGCGUGUAUGAAGAAGGUUUUCGGAUCGUAAAGUACUGUUGUUAGAGAAGAACAAGGAUAAGAGUAACUGCUUGUCCCUUGACGGUAUCUAACCAGAAAGCCACGGCUAACUACGUGCCAGCAGCCGCGGUAAUACGUAGGUGGCAAGCGUUGUCCGGAUUUAUUGGGCGUAAAGCGCGCGCAGGCGGUCUUUUAAGUCUGAUGUGAAAGCCCCCGGCUUAACCGGGGAGGGUCAUUGGAAACUGGAAGACUGGAGUGCAGAAGAGGAGAGUGGAAUUCCACGUGUAGCGGUGAAAUGCGUAGAUAUGUGGAGGAACACCAGUGGCGAAGGCGACUCUCUGGUCUGUAACUGACGCUGAGGCGCGAAAGCGUGGGGAGCAAACAGGAUU
rnacentral:rRNA from 1 species